CCUCGGAGGCUGCAGUGGGGAAUAUUGGACAAUGGGCGAAAGCCUGAUCCAGCCAUGCCGCGUGUGUGAAGAAGGCCUUCGGGUUGUAAAGCACUUUCAGUGGGGAAGAAAGCCUUGGGGCUAAUACCCUCGAGGAAGGACAUCACCCACAGAAGAAGCACCGGCUAACUCCGUGCCAGCAGCCGCGGUAAUACGGAGGGUGCGAGCGUUAAUCGGAAUUACUGGGCGUAAAGCGCGCGUAGGCGGUCUGAUAAGCCGGUUGUGAAAGCCCCGGGCUCAACCUGGGAACGGCAUCCGGAACUGUCAGGCUAGAGUGCAGGAGAGGAAGGUAGAAUUCCCGGUGUAGCGGUGAAAUGCGUAGAGAUCGGGAGGAAUACCAGUGGCGAAGGCGGCCUUCUGGACUGACACUGACGCUGAGGUGCGAAAGCGUGGGUAGCAAACAGGAUUAGAUACCCCUGUAGUC
rnacentral:rRNA from 1 species